rnacentral:rRNA from 1 species
UUAGGUUAAGUUGUUAAGGGCGCACGGUGAAUGCCUUGGCACUAGGAACCGAUGAAGGACGGGACUAACACCGAUAUGCUUCGGGGAGCUGUAAGCAAGCUUUGAUCCGGAGAUUUCCGAAUGGGGGAACCCACUGCCCGUAAUGGGGUAGUAUCCUUACUUGAAUACAUAGAGUAAGGAAGGCAGACCCGGGGAACUGAAACAUCUAAGUACCCGGAGGAAGAGAAAGCAAACGCGAUUUCCUGAGUAGCGGCGAGCGAAACGGAAGAAGCCCAAACCAAGAGGCUUGCCUCUUGGGGUUGUAGGACACUCUACACGGAGUUACAAAGGAACGAAGUAAAUGAAGAGGUCUGGAAAGGCCCGUCAAAGAAGGUAACAACCCUGUAGUUGAAACUUCGUUCCCUCCAGAGUGGAUCCUGAGUACGGCGGGACACGUGAAAUCCCGUCGGAAGCAGGGAGGAC